rnacentral:rRNA from 1 species
CCCAGAUUCCUACGGGAGGCAGCAGUAGGGAUUUUCCGCAAUGGACGAAAGUUUGACGGAGCAACGCCGGGUGAGUGAUGAAGGUUUUCGGAUCGUAAAGCUCUGUUGUUAGGGAAGAACAAGUGCGAGAGUAACUGCUCGCACCUUGACGGUACCUAACCAGAAAGCCACGGCUAACUACGUGCCAGCAGCCGCGGUAAUACGUAGGUGGCAAGCGUUGUCCGGAAUUAUUGGGCGUAAAGGGCUCGCAGGCGGUUUCUUAAGUCUGAUGUGAAAGCCCCCGGCUCAACCGGGGAGGGUCAUUGGAAACUGGGAAACUUGAGUGCAGAAGAGGAGAGUGGAAUUCCACGUGUAGCGGUGAAAUGCGUAGAGAUGUGGAGGAACACCAGUGGCGAAGGCGACUCUCUGGUCUGUAACUGACGCUGAGGAGCGAAAGCGUGGGGAGCGAACAGGAUUAGAUACCCUGGUAGUCCACGCCGUAAACGAUGAGUGCUAAGUGUUAGGGGGUUUCCGCCCCUUAGUGCUGCAGCUAACGCAUUAAGCACUCCGCCUGGGGAGUACGGUCGCAAGACUGAAACUCAAAGGAAUUGACGGGGGCCCGCACAAGCGGUGGAGCAUGUGGUUUAAUUCGAAGCAACGCGAAGAACCUUACCAGGUCUUGACAUCCUCUGACAACCCUAGAGAUAGGGCUUUCCCUUCGGGGACAGAGUGACAGGUGGUGCAUGGUUGUCGUCAGCUCGUGUCGUGAGAUGUUGGGUUAAGUCCCGCAACGAGCGCAACCCUUGAUCUUAGUUGCCAGCAUUUAGUUGGGCACUCUAAGGUGACUGCCGGUGACAAACCGGAGGAAGGUGGGGAUGACGUCAAAUCAUCAUGCCCCUUAUGACCUGGGCUACACACGUGCUACAAUGGACAGAACAAAGGGCUGCGAGACCGCAAGGUUUAGCCAAUCCCAUAAAUCUGUUCUCAGUUCGGAUCGCAGUCUGCAACUCGACUGCGUGAAGCUGGAAUCGCUAGUAAUCGCGGAUCAGCAUGCCGCGGUGAAUACGUUCCCGGGCCUUGUACACACCGCCCGUCACACCACGAGAGUUUGUAACACCCGAAGUCGGUGAGGUAACCUUUAUGGAGCCA